CGUCCAUUAGCUGAAGGAAAUAGAAGCACUCUGACAUGGUCCAUGGCCAACGUCACUAGCAAGUAGGACUUUGUGACAAUGCUCUUCAUGUGUUUCAACAACACUUUGUCAUAGUCCCGGUGUUAGAACGAGACUUUCACUAUCUAAAGAUAAUAUAUCCACACCAUGUCAAGUCGCUAGGUGCAGGAAGCAAAUGUUUCUGGAUGCUGCAACAACAACUUAGCUAGCAGGAGUUAAAAUUACUCAAAAUUAUUUAUAGGAUUAGAAUGCGGCGGUGUGGAAAACAGAAGAUUAGAAUGCUGGUACGAUGACAAACCAUUGGCACCAUGGGUAAAAUAGCUGCACCAGAUAUAUAUUAUCCAGUGGCAGGCCAAGGCGCGUGCCCAGCAUGUGCCUCUUUCCCUAUGUCUCAAAUUCCCAUGCCUCCUGUUGUUUUUCUUCUUUUCCAGUUCUCUCAUUAUUUUAUUUUCUGAUGCUAACAAAAUAAUAUGUUUGCUAAAAGGAGAGCUAUGAGGUCGUCUGUGGCGUGAUUCAGAGAUGAAGUAUUGUACAUCCAUACAAGUGUGUGGUGCCAUAUUUAUACUGGCAUCGGUAUGGGUUUCAUUGAGUUACUAGGCAACUAGUUUGUGCCCAAUUCAAUGAGAUAGUUUUGUGGUGGUUGAAAAAAAUGGGU
rnacentral:lncRNA from 1 species